AGCAGCCGCGGUAAUUCCAGCUCCAAUAGCGUAUAUUAAAGUUGUUGCAGUUAAAAAGCUCGUAGUUGAAUUUCGGGGUUAGUAGGCUGGUCAUGCCUCUGGUAUGUACUGGUCUCACUGAUUCCUCCUUCCUGAUGAACCUUAAUGCCAUUUAUUUGGUGUUUUGGGGAAUUUGGACUGUUACUUUGAAAAAAUUAGAGUGUUUAAAGCAAGCUAACGCUUGAAUACAUUAGCAUGGAAUAAUGAAAUAGGACGUUCGAUCCUAUUUUGUUGGUUUCUAGGAUUGACGUAAUGAUUAAUAGGGAUAGUUGGGGGCAUUAGUAUUCAAUUGUCAGAGGUGAAAUUCUUGGAUUUAUUGAAGACUAACUACUGCGAAAGCAUUUGCCAAGGAUGUUUUCAUUAAUCAAGAACGAAAGUUAGGGGAUCGAAGACGAUCAGAUACCGUCGUAGUCUUAACCAUAAACUAUGCCGACUAGGGAUCGGAUGAUGUUAAUUUUUUAAUGACUCAUUCGGCGCCUUA
rnacentral:rRNA from 1 species